rnacentral:rRNA from 1 species
GACAGCAGUCGCCGCGGUAAUACGAGGGGGGCAAGCGUUGUUCGGAAUUAUUGGGCGUAAAGGGUGCGUAGGCGGUUUGGCAAGUUUGGUGUGAAAUCUUCGGGCUCAACUCGAAGUCUGCAUCGAAAACUGCCGGGCUUGAGUAUGGGAGAGGUGAGUGGAAUUUCCGGUGUAGCGGUGAAAUGCGUAGAUAUCGGAAGGAACACCUGUGGCGAAAGCGGCUCACUGGACCAUAACUGACGCUGAUGCACGAAAGCUAGGGGAGCAAACAGGAUUAGAUACCCCUGUAGUCCCUGUCUCUUAUAC